GGCCCCAUAGCUCAGUGGUAGAGCUACCUGUCUAGUCUACAGGAGGUCCCAGGUUUGAGUCCUGGUGUGGUCA
rnacentral:tRNA from 1 species